rnacentral:tRNA from 1 species
AACACAGUAGCACAGUGGUUUAGUGCACAGUCCCGGAAAUGUUGAGACGCAGGUUCGAUUCCCGCUUGGGAUG